UACGUAGGGUGCAAGCGUUGUCCGGAAUUAUUGGGCGUAAAGAGCUCGUAGGCGGUUUGUCGCGUCUGCUGUGAAAACCCGAGGCUCAACCUCGGGCCUGCAGUGGGUACGGGCAGACUAGAGUGCGGUAGGGGAGAUUGGAAUUCCUGGUGUAGCGGUGAAAUGCGCAGAUAUCAGGAGGAACACCGGUGGCGAAGGCGGGUCUCUGGGCCGAUACUGACACUGAGGAGCGAAAGCGUGGGGAGCGAACAGG
rnacentral:rRNA from 1 species